rnacentral:rRNA from 1 species
GACGAACGCUGGCGGCGUGCUUAACACAUGCAAGUCGAACGAAGUGGCGAACGGGUGAGUGACGCGUAAUCAAACUGCCCUUCAGAGGGGGACAACAGUUGGAAACGACUGCUAAUAACGCAUACUGAAGGAGGGGAUUGAGUCUGAUUAGCUAGUUGGAGGGGUAACGCCCCACCAAGGAGAUGAUCAGUAGCCGGUCUGCGAGGAUGAACGGCCCCAUUGGGACUGAGCCACGGCCCAGACUCCUACGGGAGGCAGCAGUGGGGAAUCUUCCGCAAUGGACGAAAGUCUGACGGAGCAACGCCGCGUGAGUGAUGACGGCCUUCGGGUUGUAAAGCUCUGUUAAUCGGGACGCGGUACCGGAAUAGAAAGCCACGGCUAACUACGUGCCAGCAGCCGCGGUAAUUC